ACGGGCUUAGUGUAGUGGUAACACAGGGGCUUCCAUGGGUGCUCCUAUCGAUGGUUCGAAUCCAUCAGCCUGUGCCA
rnacentral:tRNA from 3 species